UACGCUANUNUNNNNNNNUNNACCCCCCNNGUAGACGAACGCUGGCGGCGUGCUUUAUGAGGCGAUGNCAGGUCUGAUUGUCNNCGGCNAGAANGGGAGCUUUUUCCCGGAUGUUAUCGGCGGACGGGUGAGUAACACGUGGGUAACCUGCCUGUAAGACUGGGAUAACUCCGGGAAACCGGAGCUAAUACCGGAUAGUUCCUUGAACCGCAUGGUUCAAGGAUGAAAGACGGUUUCGGCUGUCACUUACAGAUGGACCCGCGGCGCAUUAGCUAGUUGGUGGGGUAAUGGCUCACCAAGGCGACGAUGCGUAGCCGACCUGAGAGGGUGAUCGGCCACACUGGGACUGAGACACGGCCCAGACUCCUACGGGAGGCAGCAGUAGGGAAUCUUCCGCAAUGGACGAAAGUCUGACGGAGCAACGCCGCGUGAGUGAUGAAGGUUUUCGGAUCGUAAAGCUCUGUUGUUAGGGAAGAACAAGUGCGAGAGUAACUGCUCGCACCUUGACGGUACCUAACCAGAAAGCCACGGCUAACUACGUGCCAGCAGCCGCGGUAAUACGUAGGUGGCAAGCGUUGUCCGGAAUUAUUGGGCGUAAAGGGCUCGCAGGCGGUUUCUUAAGUCUGAUGUGAAAGCCCCCGGCUCAACCGGGGAGGGUCAUUGGAAACUGGGAAACUUGAGUGCAGAAGAGGAGAGUGGAAUUCCACGUGUAGCGGUGAAAUGCGUAGAGAUGUGGAGGAACACCAGUGGCGAAGGCGACUCUCUGGUCUGUAACUGACGCUGAGGAGCGAAAGCGUGGGGAGCGAACAGGAUUAGAUACCCUGGUAGUCCACGCCGUAAACGAUGAGUGCUAAGUGUUAGGGGGUUUCGCGUUUUACCCGUGCUGCAGCUAACGCAAUUAAGCACUGCGGCUGGGGUGAUGUACGGUCGCAAGACUGAAACUCAAAA
rnacentral:rRNA from 1 species